rnacentral:rRNA from 1 species
AAAAUGUCCAGCUUGUCUGGGAGGGAAGUUUACGAACGAGGACUUCACAGAGAAUUAGGUUGUAGCUCCAGCGUUUGAAAGAGCAGCUAUUCUUGAGAAUCUCUUUUAAUGCGACAAUAGGGACUCCAUAAAGGAAGAAACAUAGUUGGUGGAACCUAGGAAAAUAAUGAAUAAUCAUAAAAAGUUAAUUUCCCGAAACGAAGGGAGGAACAGCGGGGUUGGUUGGUUGAUUUUAAAUGUAAAGCAAAAAGAAUAAGUUUUUUCUUUGUAAGUCAGUAGCAUUUUAGAUGUCCCAGAAGAGCAGAAAAGAAACGUAAGGGCGGAAAAUUGUUCUUUCAAUUUAAGUUAAAAAAAAACUACCUCUGUCAGAUCCAAAGUACCUAGGAAAGUAAGGGCGGUGGUUAAUUCUUUGAUAAAUAAAACGAUGGAAUCAUGCCAGUCCUAUGGCGUCGUGAA